CAUUUGCCGUUAUUAGACGUGAAUUUAGCACGACGCCGUCGGGUUUUGAUUCAUUAUCUCUACAGCGAGAGAUACGUCGUUUCGUUGUCGUGUGUGUUGUCGCAGCCUCCGCAAUCUUAAUAAAUUUAUAGAAUCUAAAUAACCGCAGCAAUAAUAACAACAACAACAACAACAACAGCAACAUCAACAAUAUCAAACAACAACAAGAGGAAAAGGAACAACAGCAAACAAAUUGAGACAUUGCCGAAGGCCAUUUGAUUAUUUGUAUUUGGAAAAUUCGUUACUUUAGCUUGUCAGCAUACACAUAUUUGCGCAAUUUGUGUCUUGUGUCUGAGGUGAUCCGUUUAAUUGCGCAGCGCAUCGUGUCGCUCGUCGCGUCGCGUCGCUUCGCAGAGGGAAUGCGAAAGUGUGUCUCGAGUUCAGCGGCAGCCGUAGCCUGUCCACACUCCACAGCUCACACACAGAUGACGUCCCGUUGACAUGUGCCCCGUUGGCCAUACACGACGAGCGAAGAGUGCGAGACCGAGUGCAAGUGCGAGGAAGUGUGCCAUAAAAAGUGCGUCGUUUACUUGGAAGGAAGAAGAACAGCAGCAAAUGUGCAACGCAUCAAUGCAACAUUGUGACACACAACAUUACAUGAUAACAGGCUGAAAGAGAAUAAUCAAACAGCACACACACAGAGACACACAUACACAAGUUAAUUACUACAACGUUACAACAUUCCUUUGGCAAAUGGCUGACGACGAUUUGCGGGCUUUGGUAGAGAUGCUGGAUGAGAAUCCAGCUGAGAAUAGUGCCAAUAUAUUUGCCAACUUCUCGUUGGACAUGCUGCAGCGAGCCAGCGCACUAAUUGGCGCCCAGCAGCCAUCGCACAGCGGUGAUCCCCUCCUACUACCCCCCAUCAAUCGCACCCUCGAAGAGCAGUGCAAGCAUCAGGCAGACAAAGUCUCCGACUCACAGCACAGCACGACUUUGUACUGUCCCGCGUCAUUCGACUCGGUUCUCUGCUGGCCCCGCACAAAUGCUGGCACCUGGGCAAUCCUGCCCUGCUUCGAGGAGUUCAAGGGUGUUCACUAUGACACAACAGAGAAUGCAACGCGAUUCUGUCAUGCGAAUGGCACUUGGAAUCAUUAUUCCAAUUACUCCAGAUGCUCAGUGCCCGUGGUUCCUGAAUUUUCGGCCAGUGUCGAUCUACCAUCGAAUAUCUAUGUUGGCGGUUACUUUAUAAGUUUUGCCACAUUGGUGGUGGCUCUCAUUAUAUUCCUAAGCUUCAAAGAUUUGCGCUGUUUGCGUAACACAAUUCAUGCGAAUCUGUUCCUAACCUACAUCACCUCUGCACUCUUGUGGAUUCUCACGUUCUUUCUGCAAGUGAUAACCACCGGAUCUAGUCAUGCUGGCUGCAUUACGCUGGUCAUUAUGUUUCAGUACUUUUAUCUGACUAACUUUUUCUGGAUGUUCGUGGAGGGCCUCUAUCUCUAUACUCUUGUGGUGCAAACAUUCUCCAGCGAGAACAUUAGCUUUCUUAUCUACGCCUUGAUUGGCUGGGGCUGUCCCGCUGUCUGUAUAUUGGUGUGGUCCAUUGCCAAAGUAUUUGCGCCGCAUCGAGAGAAUGAGCAUUUCAAUGGCCUGGAAAUUGAAUGCAGUUGGAUGCUUGAAUCUCAAAUUGAUUGGAUAUUCAAGGGGCCCACCGUAUUUGCGAUACUAACUAAUUUAGUUUUCUUGAUACGCAUCAUGUGGGUAUUGAUUACCAAAUUGCGUUCGGCUCAUACGCUUGAGACGCGGCAGUAUUACAAAGCAUCCAAGGCGCUAUUGGUGCUAAUACCGCUCUUUGGCAUUACGUAUCUGCUGGUCUUAACCGGGCCCGAACAGGGUAUCAGUCGGAAUCUCUUCGAGGCCAUGCGCGCCUUUCUGCUUAGCACACAGGGCUUCUUUGUGGCAUUGUUCUAUUGUUUUCUGAACUCGGAAGUGCGACAGACGUUGCGGCAUCGUUUCAUUAGAUGGCGGGAGAAUCGGAGUAUACAUCGAAGCAGUUCAUUAAAGAAUCGUAGACAUCGCGCAUCCAAAGACUACUCGCAACGCUCGCGUACUGAAAGUCUACGGUUGACCUCAACAAGUCCCGUGCCAACUGGACACUAUGAAUGAUUAUUAUAGUUUUAGAAAAUACCACCGAGAUUUACGUUUUUUUAUACAUACCUACAUGUUAAACAUACCGUUUUGUAUAUAAGUAUUGCAUACACUAUUAAAUACCGAGGAAUGUGUCAUCUGCUUACGUCCAUCACCGCAUACACGACUGGGAUCAUUGAAACGUUAUCACAGCAUUGAUUUAACCGACUUUGUGUAAUAGACUACUAAAAAAAAAACCCAACCCAAAGGCCAAUUGAAAAGCGUUG